UACGAAGGGGGCUAGCGUUGCUCGGAAUUACUGGGCGUAAAGGGCGCGUAGGCGGACAGUUUAGUCAGAGGUGAAAGCCCAGGGCUCAACCUUGGAAUUGCCUUUGAUACUGAGAAGCUUGAGUCCGGGAGAGGUGAGUGGAACUGCGAGUGUAGAGGUGAAAUUCGUAGAUAUUCGCAAGAACACCAGUGGCGAAGGCGGCUCACUGGACACAUAUUGACGCUGAGGUGCGAAAGCGUGGGGAGCAAACAGG
rnacentral:rRNA from 1 species